AAGUCUGUUAGCUGCUGGCUGGCAUGUGUCUCUCUCUAGUUUUGCUUUCUUUUUCGGACCCAGCAGCAGCUGACAGAGACCGCUCACACACGGUUGGCGUCAGAGAGUCCCUGUGUUCACUGCCCUCAGCUGUCCUCAGCUGUCCUGUGGCUCAUGCCCUCACUGCAUUCAGGGUCCUUGCCGAUGUCACCUGGUCCGAGGGACCGUCACUCCCCAGCUCCUCGAUGGAAUCUCGGGCACCAGACCACCAGAGAGGCCGGAAGGUAGGCCCACUGAGGCAAAGGCAGCAGGACCACCUCCACGGCCCCCGCCACCAGCUUCCCCUGGAGCACACUCACGUCCACCCCCGACAGGCCUUCUCCUCACUGCUCUCGGGCUGGUCCCCAGCCGCUCCUUCGCCAGGCUGCCUCUCCCUCUGGCCACAGUCUUGCACCUGGGAGCAUGCCACAGCCUCCGCACCCCUCCCACAACCUCAGGGCUAAAACGCCCCCCAGCGCGACAAGAACAGCGACUGAGCGCGCAUGUGGGCCAGGCGCUGCUCUCCGUGGGCUGUGACUUUAUUCAGAAUCAAGAGCGUGAGGAGUGAAGCACAUGCAGGUGGACACAGAGCUGCAGCGGACGCCCGGCCCUCUUCUGCAGCAGAGACUCUGCGGCCACUGCAGUCCUUCUGUGACCACGUCAAAGAGCUAAGGAUCCCCCUUUUAGACCAUCUCUGACAGCCACAGCCACCCCGUCAGAAGUCAGAGCUCUUCGCUGGUGGGAAGAAGAAGUGGAGAAGUGAAGAUGUUAGUGCAAUCAGCCGGACGUCCAGGACGCUCCCCAUCCUUGGGCCAUGUCCACCUUACCCACCGAGCCUCCCGUGCACUCUCCUUCCCAGUGGGCCCUCUGCAGCCUUGCGUGUCCAGGAGAGAGCAUGCCCACGGGACGCAUGUGUGUGUAUGUGCAUGUGCACGCACACAAACGUGCCUUUUCAUUUCUCCAUCUGUCAUGCACCCAGACGUUCAUGUGCUCUCAGGCAGGAAAGAGAAACACAAGCAUGUAAUUAGUAACAUGGAAAUUCUAACGGUGCUGAGCGCCCACACCAGCCCGUGUGUCCCUACACACGAGGGCCUCUGAGUGUGCGCAGCUCCUGUAUGUCUGGGAGACUUUCUCUGGAAAGAACUCGGGAUUUGGGGUCCUGCGGAUCAUUGCAGGAUCGGGUUUUGCAUGUGUCGGGGGGAGGAAAUGUGUCUGUCUCUGCUCUGUCCCCGGCCGUCUCCCCACACUCCUUAGUGUCCUGAGACUCAGCCAGCAGAGGGGCCCCACCUUCUGGGAGGGCGUCCCAAUGUCCUCCACCCACCCAGAACAGACCCCGCAAGGCUGGGCGCGAGGACAAGGAGCCACAAGAGCCGUGGGGGCGACUCCCACCCCUGCUUGGGUGACACCUCUAGCUGGACUGCAAACGGAGGAAGCUCUCCUGCCCAUCUCUUCCCUGUGGCUCCCGUGCAGAAUGGGCCUUGUGGGUGGACGGUGGCCACAGGCAAGAACGGGGUGACCACCCUGCCCCUGCCCCACCUGGUGGGUUGAGGCCUGAGCUGCCUGAGCCCGUGCGAGCAAGAGGGGCGGUGAAGAAUGUCACCGUCCAACGUUUGCAUACGUUUUGGUAACAGGGACUCAAACCUACCAAACCCCUACUUGGGAUCUUGGGGACCCACUUUAGGAUAAGAACAACUGGGAGUGAGGCCAUUCAGGCCGGAUCCGUCCGUGUCAGCGGAGCUUGUGGGACCCACGAGCUUGCACACGGCUCCAGAGCUGUCAGCGGAGUGCCCGCUCUGCACCGCACGGAGCCACGGCACUCCCCACAAACACGUGGCUUAUGAGGGGAGGGCCACGCACAUCCCUGAGCCCCCAUGUCAGGCAUCCAGCCAGUAAGUGCGUCUGGGACGAACAACUGAACAAUUGAACGGUGCUGGCGUUCGGAGUGGUAAGACUCACGCACAGGAUUCAAGAAGAGAGAGGCUUGCGUAUUUAAUAAAUAUUGAUUGGGCUCGCA